rnacentral:tRNA from 1 species
AGUUGUUCUCCCGGGGACGAAUUUGUCUUGAAAACAAAUUUUAAGCGUUCGACUCGCUUAACAACUU